UACGUAGGGCGCAAGCGUUAUCCGGAAUUAUUGGGCGUAAAGAGCUCGUAGGCGGUUUGUCGCGUCUGCCGUGAAAGUCCGGGGCUCAACUCCGGAUCUGCGGUGGGUACGGGCAGACUAGAGUGAUGUAGGGGAGACUGGAAUUCCUGGUGUAGCGGUGAAAUGCGCAGAUAUCAGGAGGAACACCGAUGGCGAAGGCAGGUCUCUGGGCCGAUACUGACACUGAGGAGCGAAAGCGUGGGGAGCGAACAGG
rnacentral:rRNA from 1 species